rnacentral:misc_RNA from 1 species
GAUGAAGAACGUAGCGAAAUGCGAUACUUGGUGUGAAUUGCAGAAUCCCGUGAACCAUCGAGUCUUUGAACGCAAGUUGCGCCUCAAGCCAUUAGGUUGAGGGCACGUCUGCCUGGGCGUCACAUAUCGUUGCCUGAUGCCAGUUUCCUCGUGAUGGGUGACUGUGCAGGGCGAAUGAUGGCUGCCCGUGAGCAUUGUUGCCUCAUGGUUGGUUGAAAAUUGAGUCCUUGGUAGGGAGCGCCGUGAUAGAUGGUGGUUGAGUGACGAACGAGACCCAAUCAUGUGAGACCCCUACCGAAUUUGGCCUUCAUGACCCACAUGCGUCUUUGGAACGCUCAUGACGAGACCUCAGGUCAGGCGGGGCUACCCGCUGAGUUUAAGCAUAUCAAUAAGCGGAGGA